rnacentral:rRNA from 1 species
AUCCGUUGAAAAGGGUGGCGAUGAGGUGUGGGUAGGGGAGAAAUUCCAAUCGAACUCGGAGAUAGCUGGUUCUCCUCGAAAUAGUUUUAGGACUAGCCUUGUUUCGUAGCAUUUGGGGGUAGAGCACUGAAUGAGGUAGGGGCCAACACGGUUACUGAACUCUAUCAAACUACGAAUACCAAAUGUGUAAGAACAAGAGUCAGACUGCGGGAGCUAAGUUCCGUGGUCAAAAGGGAAAGAGCCCAGAUCGUCAAUUAAGGUCCCAAAGAUAUAGUUAAGUGGAAAACGAUGUGAUUUUGCGUAAACAACCAGGAUGUUGGCUUAGAAGCAGCCAUUCAUUCAAAGAGUGCGUAAUAGCUCACUGGUCGAGUGAAGUUGCGCGGAAAAUUACCGGGGCUAAACUAUACACCGAAAUUGCGGAUUUGCAUAGAAAUAUGUAAGUGGUAGAGGAGCAUUCUAUAGUAGGACGAAGCAUAAUCGAAAGGAUAUGUGGACGAGAUAGAAGAGAGAAUGCCGGAAUAAGUAGCGAAAGCAUGGUGAGAAUCCAUGCCAUCGAAAGUCUAAGGUUUCCUGGGGAAGGUUCGUCCGCCCAGGGUAAGUCGGGACCUAAGGAGAGGCCGAAAAGCGUAUCCGAUGGACAGCAGGUAGAAAUUCCUGCACUACGUAAUACUUAAAAGACAUAAAUGACACAGGAGUGGAAGAUAAGCGAGGAAGAGGAAAGACUCGUAUCGAAAGAUAUAGUGAAAAUUAAAGUAACGAAUUAUCAAGAAGCUAAUGGCGAGAAAAGUUUAUGGAUAUUGUAUUAAGUACCCGUACCGCAAACCGACACAGGUAGAUGAGGAGAAGAUCCUAAGAUGAGCGAGAGAAGCAUUGUUAAGGAACUCGGCAAAUUGACCCCGUAACUUAGGGAGAAGGGGUGCCAAAGUAAAAUUUGGUCGCAGAGAAGAGGCCCAAGCAACUGUUUAACAAAAACACAGGUUUCUGCUAAAUCGAAAGAUGAAGUAUAGGAGCUGACGCCUGCCCAGUGCUGGAAGGUUAAGGGGAAGAGUUAAGACUUGAUCUGAAGCUUAGAACCAAAGCCCCAGUGAACGGCGGCCGUAACUAUAACGGUCCUAAGGUAGCGAAAUUCCUUGUCAGGUAAGUUCUGACCCGCACGAAAGGUGUAAUGAUUUGGGAGCUGUCUCGACAAUGUACUCGGCGAAAUUGUAGUACUAGUGAAGAUGCUAGUUACCUGCGACAAGACAGAAAGACCCCAUGGAGCUUUACUGCAGCUUGAUACUGGGUUUCGGUAAUUUAUGUACAGGAUAGGUGGGAUGCUAAGAAGUAUGUGCGCCAGCGCAUAUGGAGCAGACGUUGGGAUACCACCCUUAAAUUACUGGAAUUCUAACUAUAAGUCCUAAGCGGGCUUGAGGACAAUGUCAGGCGGGCAGUUUGACUGGGGCGGUCGCCUCCUAAAGAGUAACGGAGGCGCGCAAAGGUUUCCUCAGCGCGGACAGAAAUCGCGCGAAAGAGUGCAAAGGCAGAAGGAAGCUUAACUGAGAGACAGACAUGUCGACCAGAUACGAAAGUAGGGCUUAGUGAUCCGGCGGUAGUGAAUGGAAAUGCCGUCGCUCAACGGACAAAAGUUACCCUGGGGAUAACAGGCUUAUCUCCCCCAAGAGUUCACAUCGACGGGGAGGUUUGGCACCUCGAUGUCGGCUCAUCGCAUCCUGGAGCUGAAGUCGGUUCCAAGGGUUGGGCUGUUCGCCCAUUAAAGCGGUACGCGAGCUGGGUUCAGAACGUCGUGAGACAGUUCGGUCCCUAUCUGUCGUGGGCGCAGGAAAUUUGAGAAGAGCUGUCCUCAGUACGAGAGGACCGGGAUGGACGCAUCAAUGGUGGACCAGUUGUCACGCCAGUGGCAUAGCUGGGUAGCUAAAUGCGGAAGGGAUAAACGCUGAAGGCAUCUAAGUGUGAAACCCACUUCAAGAUGAGAUUUCCCAUUGC